AUGGCGGCGCAAAUGAAGGCUUUCUUUGAUUCCACGGGGAGUUUGUGGCAGGGGCAUAAGCUUUCCAGGAAACCGGCUGGGUUCUUUGUUAGUACCGGUACUCAAGGUGGCGGUCAAGAAACCACCGCGAAAUUUCUUCUACUGCAUCAGAGAGUAAUCUCAGCUUUUCCAUGGCUUAAGUUGAUGAGUAUGAACAAGAGAGAUCUUAUGGUUCCAUAUGGAGUUAUCAUUACAAAUGUUUCUGAAGAUAUUCGAUUCGAUAAAGCUUAA